GGACCCGCACAAGCGGUGGAGCAUGUGGUUUAAUUCGAUGCAACGCGAAAAACCUUACCUAUACUUGACAUACUUGGAAUGCUUUGUAAUGAAGCAGUGCCUUCGGGAGCCAGGAUACAGGUGCUGCAUGGCUGUCGUCAGCUCGUGUCGUGAGAUGUUCCGUUAAGUCGGAUAACGAGCGCAACCCUUACCCUUAUUUGCCAGCGAUUCGGUCGGGAACUAUAAGGGGACUGCCGGUGAUAAACCGGAGGAAGGUGAGGACGACGUCAAGUCAUCAUGGCCCUUACGUCCAGGGCUGCACGCAUGCUACAAUGGCAAGUACAACGAGUCGCAAUACCGCGAGGUGGAGCAAAUCUCUUAAAGCUUGUCUCAGUUCGGAUAGGAGUCUGCAACUCGACUCCUUGAAGUUGGAGUC
rnacentral:rRNA from 1 species